GCGAACGCUGGCGGCAGGCUUAACACAUGCAAGUCGAACGGGCACUUCGGUGCUAGUGGCAGACGGGUGAGUAACACGUGGGAACGUACCUUUCGGUUCGGAAUAAUACAGGGAAACUUGUACUAAUACCGGAUAAGCCCUUCGGGGGAAAGAUUUAUCGCCGAUAGAUCGGCCCGCGUCUGAUUAGCUAGUUGGUGAGGUAAUGGCUCACCAAGGCGACGAUCAGUAGCUGGUCUGAGAGGAUGAUCAGCCACACUGGGACUGAGACACGGCCCAGACUCCUACGGGAGGCAGCAGUGGGGAAUAUUGGACAAUGGGCGAAAGCCUGAUCCAGCCAUGCCGCGUGUGUGAUGAAGGCCUUAGGGUUGUAAAGCACUUUUGUCCGGGAAGAUAAUGACUGUACCGGAAGAAUAAGCCCCGGCUAACUUCGU
rnacentral:rRNA from 1 species